rnacentral:sRNA from 4 species
UAUUCUGCCCCACGGGGAAGGAUGAGAAGCUUCGACUAAGGUUCGACUCGAGCGUAGCGAGAGAACGUUGCCGAAGGCAACGGCCCGAAGGGCGAGGCGCUUUAGCGCCGAGUCAUCCUUCCCCCACCGCUG